rnacentral:rRNA from 1 species
CCUACGGGUGGCUGCAGUGAGGAAUAUUGGUCAAUGGACGCAAGUCUGAACCAGCCAUGCCGCGUGCAGGAUGACUGCUCUAUGAGUUGUAAACUGCUUUUGUACAAGGAUAAACGCAGAUACGCGUAUCUGUCUGAAAGUAUCGUACGAAUACGGAACGGCUAACUCCGUGCCAGCAGCCGCGGUAAUACGGAGGAUUCAAGCGUUAUCCGGAUUUAUUGGGUUUAAAGGGUGCGUAGGCGGUCUGAUAAGUUAGAGGUGAAAUCCCGAGGCUCAACUUGGGAAUUGCCGUUGAUACGGGUAGGCUAGAGUGUAGUUGAGGUAGGCGGAAUUUAGGGUGGAGCGGUGAAAUGCUUAGAGAUCAUGAAGAACACCGAUUGCGAAGGCAGCUUACCAAGCUACUACGGACGUUGAGGCACGAAAGCGUGGGGAGCAAACAGGAUUAGAUACCCUUGUAGUC